GCGCGCAGAUGCACACUCUCGG
rnacentral:misc_RNA from 1 species